AGUCGAACGAACUUAACCAUUAGUUUACUAUUGGAGCGGUUAGUGGCGGACUGGUGAGUAACACGUAAGCAACCUGCCUAUCAGAGGGGAACAACAGUUAGAAAUGACUGCUAAUACCGCAUAUGCCUUGAGUAUCACAUGGUACAAAAGGGAAAGGAGCAAUCCGCUGAUAGAUGGGCUUGCGUCUGAUUAGAUAGUUGGUGAGGUAACGGCCCACCAAGUCGACGAUCAGUAGCCGGACUGAGAGGUUGAACGGCCACAUUGGGACUGAGAUACGGCCCAGACUCCUACGGGAGGCAGCAGUCGGGAAUAUUGCGCAAUGGAGGAAACUCUGACGCAGUGACGCCGCGUGCAGGAAGAAGGUUUUCGGAUUGUAAACUGCUUUAGACAGGGAAGAAACAAGACAGUACCUGUAGAAUAAGCUCCGGCUAACUACGUGCCAGCAGCCGCGGUAAUACGUAGGGAGCAAGCGUUAUCCGGAUUUAUUGGGUGUAAAGGGUGCGUAGACGGGAAAUUAAGUUAGUUGUGAAAUCCCUCGGCUUAACUGAGGAACUGCAACUAAAACUGAUUUUCUUGAGUGCUGGAGAGGAAAGUGGAAUUCCUAGUGUAGCGGUGAAAUGCGUAGAUAUUAGGAGGACACCAGUGGCGAAGGCGACUUUCUGGACA
rnacentral:rRNA from 1 species